CACAAUGCAAAAAUAUAUGAUGCCAUUGUCGCAGCUGUUGCGCAUAGCGGCAUCAGGAGAACUCGCCGGCAGGUGCAGACCAAGAUCGACAACCUGACACAGAGAUACAGGUACGGUGUCUAGAUUGGACGACAGGGUCCUCGCCUGUCUCCCUGGCCGUUCUUUUCCAAAAUACACAGGAUCUUUGGGGCACUGCCGGCGAAUGAUCGCUCCCUCAUCCAGGCGAGCCCUUGCUCUCCAAAUGAAACUGUUGAAAUGAUAAUUUCCGGCAUGGAACAUUCCAAUGGAAAUACCUCUGGAGAGGAGGAGGUGGCAGACGCAGUGGAAGACGUUGCAAGCGAUAGCCAAGGGCCUGCAUCCACCAGACAACAGCGCCGCCCGCAAAAACGGAAGAGGCAGAGUGUCACGGAGAACUUCUGCAAUAACUUGCUGGAGCUACAAAAUAAACUGAUAGCUUCGUUGCAAGAUGCAACUAAAGUUGAUCAAGUUCUGCGGGAGCGGCAAGUGAAUGCCCAAGAGAAGUUGGUGGACCUGCUGUCCCAGUAUUUUAAUAAAUAAUUUCACUUUUUGACUUCUUGGCUUGGCUAGUGGUCCAUCUGUUGGUGAAAGUGCAUGGCAACUGCAGC